AUGCGGCCUGCGGCGCCCAAGACCUACGCCUACAGCCAACAAGAACCUCGUCCGGAGAACCUUCUUCUUCUCCUCGCUUCUCCCCGUGCGGCCAAACUCUCCCUUGGCUGCUCCCUCUUGGACCACCUCCUCUCCGGUGGCCUCCCCGCCACAUCGAUCACAGAGAUUGCUGGUGAAUCCGCCGCCAGGAAGACCCAGCUUUGCCGCCAGCUCGUCCUCCUUGUGCCCCUCUCCCCACCUUCCUCCUCCCUCUUCCUAUGCUCUGACCUCCCCUUUACCCUCUGUCGGCUCCGCCUCCUUGCCCCCAAAUCGCGGUCAGACCCCCUGGAUCACCUCCUUGUGGCCGAUGUACACUCCCCCUCCGACUUCCUCUCCCUCCUAUCUCACGCCCAGUACCACCUCUCCCACCCGAGUCGCUCUCCUACCCUGCCUAUCCGUGUCAUCCUCCUUGACUCCAUCGCUUUUGUUGAGUAUCCCGACUUCGACGCCUCACCCGCCGACCUCAAACGCCGGUCUAGGCUCUUCUUCAAGAUAUCCGCAAAACUCAAGGAACUGGCUCACAGGUACCAAUGCGUGGUUGUGGUUACCAAUCAGGUGGUUGACAUGGAGGGGAACACGGGAAACACCAUGGCCUAGUCAUCGCGGCGGCAGGUGAGCCAUGCGCUGGGGCUUGCGUGGGAUCUCCGGCUCAGAGAUCCGCAUUGA
rnacentral:rRNA from 1 species